rnacentral:rRNA from 1 species
UACGGAGGGUGCGAGCGUUGUCCGGAAUCACUGGGCGUAAAGGGCGCGUAGGCGGCGCGGAUAGUCGGCGGUGAAAGCCCGGAGCUCAACUCCGGGUCGGCCGUGCGAACUGGGCUCACUGGAGCAUAGUAGAGGCAGGUGGAAUUCCGGGUGUAGCGGUGGAAUGCGUAGAUAUUGGCAGGAACACCGAAGGGGAAGCCAGCGGACUGGCACGGUGCUGACACUGAAGUGCGACAGCGUGGGGAGCGAACAGG